GAGUGCCGUCCGCUGAGGANGGCUUUUCCUUGGUGUAACUAGCCGGGGGAAUAAGGAGAGGGCAAGACUGGUGUCAGCCGCCGCGGUAAUACCAGCUCUCCGAGUGGUGGGGAUGAUUAUUGGGCUUAAAGCGUCCGUAGCCGGCUUAGCAAGUCUCCGGUUAAAUCCNACGACCUAAUCGUUGGGCUGCGGGAGAUACUGNUGGGCUAGGAGGCGGGAGAAGCCGACGGUNNUNCCGGGGUAGGGGUGAAAUCCUNUAAUCCCGGGNGGACCACCAGUGGCGAAGGCUGUCGACUAGAACGCGCUCGACGGUGAGGGACGAAAGCUGGGGGAGCGAACCGGAUUANAUACCCGGGUAGUCCCAGCNGUAAACGAUGCAGGCUAGGUGUUGGGGUGGCUACNNGCCACUUCAGUGCCGCAUGGAAGCCAUUAAGCCCGCCGCCUGGGGAGUACGGCCGCAAGGCUGAAACUUAAAGGAAUUGGC
rnacentral:rRNA from 1 species